AAGGCAGUAGGUGCUUUCAAAUGGCAUGCAACUCUGUAGUCAAGGGAGUGUUGACUCCCAUUUUAUAGCUAGAGGCUCAGAGGUGACCUCACAAAGCCACGAAGUAGAGAGGUGACAUGUGACCUCAUCCUCUCCGUAAUCCCAGGCUACAGAAAUACUGUGGUUAUCCUAGGGCUUUCCAUAAUCAAGCGUGAUAGAAAUGUGUGCACAUAUAUCAACAUGAAUGCUGAAUCUCCAAGUAUUCCAUUAAUAGCUUAUACUUAACAAGAAGAAUGUACUUCAAGGCAAUCAACAAUUGAGCUUCCUGUGAUCUGGCUCUGGGAAUGAGACCUCCCUCCCCCAACGCAGAAGUCUGGGUCCUUCACAGUCAAAGGUCUCAGAGGCGGUGACUAUCACAAGCCCCUAGACUGGCACCUGGAAUCCGGGGUCCCAGGACCUCAAACAGGGGUGUCUACCCCCUGGCAGGACAGAGCCACAGAAUGCAAGUUCCAGAAGUGUCCUCUGAGAUAACAGCAUGAUAAAAGUUCUGAAAGGAGUUUGGCAGUCUGGUUUCUGGGGGAGUGGAGAGAGCUAAAACGGCAAGUGCUCCGUAACCCCCAACAAGCAGAUUGUUACAGAAUAUGGCAGUGUUGGCUCGACAGGAACCCAACUAUGGCAGGCACGGGGGACCGGCUGGCAUCAUUCUGAGGCUAAACAAGUCCAACUGCAUACCCUCCAGCAUCUGGGACGUUCGAAAAGACCAGUGAGCCAAAUCCAGAGAGAGAGAGAGCAAGCCUGCUUCCUGGCCCCCGAAGCCAAUGAGGCCCAGCUGAAGAGUCACUGCAGUCCUCAUGCAGAGGGACAGAAGGGGCCUGUUAGGCAACAGUGACCUCAACUAUGGUCCAUCAGAAUCGAUUAAGUGCCUCUCAGUCCUGGAAUGGGAUUAAAGAGCACCUAGUCCCACAUCCUCGAUUUGCAAAGGAUACAGUGACUUCCCGAGGUCAGAGAAUGCUGGCAGCAGUGGAGGGCGUUCAACUUAGAGCCGACUGCAUCCUGUCAACCCUGCCCCAUACUUCUUUAGCGUCCAUUAAGUUUUGCCAUGUCCAAGUUUUUCUUUUUGGGGAAAAAUCAAAACUUAGGGGCAUCCAAUGUUAGUUUUCCAAAAAUAACGGAAAGAUAUAUUUAACUAGCACCCAUUACUAAGAACAUAAAUAUUUUGCGUAUUAUUUUAAGCAGUUGUUACUAGAACAUUCCUGUGCCGAGAGAUCUGAAGCCAAGCACUUACGGAGAGGAUUAUUAAAAAACUGACCUGUGAAAGGAAGAAGGCUUGAUUAUAAUGGACUUGCUAGCAGACAGGUGUACAGGAGUUUAGAAAGGAGGCGGAGUCUUGAAAAGAAGUAUAAAUUCAGAUAAUUCCAAAUGUA